rnacentral:rRNA from 1 species
AGAUUGAACGCUGGCGGCAGGCCUAACACAUGCAAGUCGAGCGGCAGCACGGGUACUUGUACCUGGUGGCGAGCGGCGGACGGGUGAGUAAUGCCUAGGAAUCUGCCUGGUAGUGGGGGAUAACGCUCGGAAACGGACGCUAAUACCGCAUACGUCCUACGGGAGAAAGCAGGGGACCUUCGGGCCUUGCGCUAUCAGAUGAGCCUAGGUCGGAUUAGCUAGUUGGUGAGGUAAUGGCUCACCAAGGCGACGAUCCGUAACUGGUCUGAGAGGAUGAUCAGUCACACUGGAACUGAGACACGGUCCAGACUCCUACGGGAGCAGCAGUGGGGAAUAUUGGACAAUGGGCGCAAGCCUGAUCCAGCAAUGCGCGUGUGUGAAGAAGCUUCGGUGUAAGCUACUUAAGUUAGGAAGAAAAACUACGACUACUAACAAC